rnacentral:rRNA from 1 species
AGUGAACGCUGGCGGUAGGCCUAACACAUGCAAGUCGAACGGCAGCACAGUAAGAGCUUGCUCUUACGGGUGGCGAGUGGCGGACGGGUGAGGAAUACAUCGGAAUCUACUUUUUCGUGGGGGAUAACGUAGGGAAACUUACGCUAAUACCGUAUACGACCUACGGGUGAAAGCAGGGGAUCUUCGGACCUUGCGCGAUUGAAUUAGCCGAUGUCGGAUUAGCUAGUUGGCGGGGUAAAGGCCCACCAAGGCGACGAUCCGUAGCUGGUCUGAGAGGAUGAUCGGCCACACUGGAACUUAGACACGGUCCUGACUCCUACGGGACGCAGCAGUCGGGAAUGUUGGACAACGGGCGCGAGCAUGAUCCAGCCAUCCCGCGUGUGUGAAGAAGGCCUUCGGGUUGUAAAGCCCUUUUGUUGGUAAAGAACAGCUGCCGGUUAAUACCCCGCGGUUCUGACGGUACCCAAUGAAGAAGCACCGGCUAACUUCGUG